ACCAUCCUUUUCUUGGGUUUGCACUACUGUCCAAUGAGUGCAUAGUGUGGGCAGUACUGCUAAUGCCUAAACAACACACUCACAUCAACUAGAGCUCUGCUUUAUGCUGGUGCAAUUUUUGGAAAA
rnacentral:ncRNA from 1 species